ACCCAGCCUUCCCGCCUCCCUGGGCUCUGCUUCCUGGGCGGCUCAGGCUCCUUCCCAGGCCCGGCACCAGCUGCUCGCCCCCACGCCUCCCUCACCAGACCGCCAGCCGCCUCCCACGGGCCCUGCUCGUCCGGUAUAACUGACGACGUGACGUUCCUUUCAGGGGUACAACUCAGGGAUGUGACAAGUUUGCACGUUACGCCGUGCUCACAAGUAGCUACCUUCUGUCCCCACACGUCGUUAUCGCAGCGUCACCGACUGUAUUCCCCGAGCUGUGCCUUUCGUUCCCGUGACUUCCUUACUCCACACCUGGAAGCCCACACGUCUGAAAUCCAG